AAGAAGGUUUUCGGAUCGUAAAACUCUGUUGUUAGAGAAGAACAAGGAUGAGAGUAACUGUUCAUCCCUUGACGGUAUCUAACCAGAAAGCCACGGCUAACUACGUGCCAGCAGCCGCGGUAAUACGUAGGUGGCAAGCGUUGUCCGGAUUUAUUGGGCGUAAAGCGAGCGCAGGCGGUUUCUUAAGUCUGAUGUGAAAGCCCCCCGGCUCAACCGGGGAGGGUCAUUGGAAACUGGGAGACUUGAGUGCAGAAGAGGAGAGUGGAAUUCCAUGUGUAGCGGUGAAAUGCGUAGAUAUAUGGAGGAACACCAGUGGCGAAGGCGGCUCUCUGGUCUGUAACUGACGCUGAGGCUCGAAAGCGUGGGGAGCAAACAGGAUUAGAUACCCUGGUAGUCCACGCCGUAAACGAUGAGUGCUAAGUGUUGGAGGGUUUCCGCCCUUCAGUGCUGCAGCUAACGCAUUAAGCACUCCGCCUGGGGAGUACGACCGCAAGGUUGAAACUCAAAGGAA
rnacentral:rRNA from 2 species